rnacentral:ncRNA from 1 species
CUGCCACAACGGCUUCCUGACGUGGCGGGGUUACACAAACGGAGCA